AGCGAACGCUGGCGGCAGGCCUAACACAUGCAAGUCGAGCGCCCCGCAAGGGGAGCGGCAGACGGGAGAGUAACACGUGGGAACGUACCCUUCAGUUCGGAACAACCAAGGGAAACUUUGGCUAAUACCGAAUACGUCCGUAAGGAGAAAGAUUUAUCGCUGAGGGAUCGGCCCGCGUCUGAUUAGCUAGUUGGUGGGGUAAUGGCCCACCAAGGCGACGAUCAGUAGCUGGUCUGAGAGGAUGAUCAGCCUCACUGGGACUGAGACACGGCCCAGACUCCUACGGGAGGCAGCAGUGGGGAAUAUUGGACAAUGGGCGCAAGCCUGAUCCAGCCAUGCCGCGUGGAUGAUGAAGGCCCUAGGGUUGUAAAGUCCUUUCGGCGGGGAAGAUAAUGACGGUACCCGCAGAAGAAGCCCCGGCUAACUUCGUGCCAGCCGCCGCUGUAA
rnacentral:rRNA from 1 species